CCCAGUGUAAUAAUUUACGAAGUGUUUUUUUUUUAUAUAUACAUAUGUGCAUUUCAUAAAUGUAUAUGGGUUUGGAUAAGUUCCAUGUUAAUUAAGUUGAUAUUAUUUUUAUUUUUGUAUUUUUAUAUUUCUUCUGUUUAUCCAAUCAUAUUCACUUGUCCACGUUGGGUGUCCAAUCUAUGCUCUAGAUUAAGGUGAAGGGGGCGGGAAUAAUUGAGGGCAAAGUUGAACGAGGAAGAAUUGGGAGAGCACGAGGGAGAAGAGCGUGCGAUCAUCUGGUGUUAUAUUGUUUCACAAAAUAUAUAGUGUAACUAAUGCUAUAAUGUGUUACAAUAGUUUAUGUAGUUAAGGUGUUGUCGGAAUGAGAACAGAAACUGAUACUACAGAGACGGUUGGCGAGUCGUCAGCAUGAGGAUUCGUGGCAGUUUCAGAUGAGGAUGAUUACAGAUGACUUGUGAGCUAACGUGAGUGCUCGGAAUUCCUUUGGCCUUAAGGAAAUCGCCGCGAUAGUGGAGUUGACGGACAUCUAACCUCGUGAGGUGAAACACGCUCUUCUGAUUGGAUGGUUCAAGGUAUUUUUAUUUUAUUUUUUUUGUUGCUCAGUGUUGAGUGAAGCGGUCGUUUGUUUAUUUGUUGACCACAAC